rnacentral:tRNA from 1 species
GGGGGUAUAGCUCAGCUGGCUAGAGCGCUUGCAUGGCAUGCAAGAGGUCAUCGGUUCGAAUCCGAUUAUCUCCA